UACGUAGGGGGCAAGCGUUGUCCGGAUUUAUUGGGCGUAAAGAGCGUGUAGGCGGCCAUGUAGGUCCGUUGUGAAAACUCGAGGCUCAACCUCGAGACGCCGAUGGAAACCAUGUGGCUAGAGUCCGGAAGAGGAGAGUGGAAUUCCUGGUGUAGCGGUGAAAUGCGCAAAUAUCAGGAAGAACACCCGUGGCUAAGGCGGCUCUCUAGUACGGUACUGAC
rnacentral:rRNA from 1 species